rnacentral:rRNA from 1 species
UACAGAGGGUGCAAGCGUUGUUCGGAAUUAUUGGGCGUAAAGCGCGUGUAGGCGGCUAUGCAAGUCGGGUGUGAAAGCCCUCGCUUAACCGAGGAAGUGCGCCCGAAACUGCAUGACUUGAGUACCGGAGAGGAUGGCGGAAUUCCCCAAGUAGAGGUGAAAUUCGUAGAUAUGGGGAGGAACACCGGCGGCGAAGGCGGCCAUCUGGACGGAUACUGACGCGUGAGACGCGAA